GACGAACGCUGGCGGCGUGCUUAACACAUGCAAGUCGAACGCUGAAGCUCAGCUUGCUGGGUGGAUGAGUGGCGAACGGGUGAGGAACACGUGAGUAACCUGCCCUCUUCUUUGGGAUAACGCCCGGAAACGGGUGCUAAUACUGGAUAUUCACUGAUUCUCGCAUGGGGGUUGGUGGAAAGGUUUUUUCUGGUGGGGGAUGGGCUCGCGGCCUAUCAGCUUGUUGGUGGGGUGAUGGCCUACCAAGGCUUUGACGGGGAGCCGGCCUGAGAGGGUGACCGGUCACAUUGGGACUGAGAUACGGCCCAGACUCCUACGGGAGGCAGCAGUGGGGAAUAUUGCCCAAUGGGCGAAAGCCUGAUGCAGCGACGCCGCGUGAGGGAUGGAGGCCUUCGGGUUGUAAACCUCUUUCGCUCAUGGUCAAGCCGCAGCUUUGGGUUGUGGUGAGGGUAGUGGGUAAAGAAGCGCCGGCUAACUACGUG
rnacentral:rRNA from 1 species